rnacentral:rRNA from 1 species
GCUAAUACCGGAUAACAACAGAUGAUGCCUAUCAACUGUUUAAAAGAAUGGUUCUGCUAUCACUCUUGGAUGGACCUGCGGUGCAUUAGCUAGUUGGUAGGGUAACGGCCUACCAAGGCGAUGAUGCAUAGCCGAGUUGAGAGACCGAUCGGCCACAUUGGGACUGAGACACGGCCCAAACUCCUACGGGAGGCAGCAGUU